UACGUAGGUGGCAAGCGUUGUCCGGAUUUAUUGGGCGUAAAGCGCGCGCAGGCGGUUCUUUUAAGUCUGAUGUGAAAUCUUGCGGCUUAACCGCAAGCGGUCAUUGGAAACUGGGGAACUUGAGUACAGAAGAGGAAAGUGGAAUUCCACGUGUAGCGGUGAAAUGCGUAGAGAUGUGGAGGAACACCAGUGGCGAAGGCGACUUUCUGGUCUGUAACUGACGCUGAGGCGCGAAAGCGUGGGGAGCAAACGGGG
rnacentral:rRNA from 1 species